UACGGAGGGCGCGAGCGUUGUCCGGAAUCACUGGGCGUAAAGGGCGCGUAGGCGGUCUGCUAAGCGUGCGGUGAAAGCCUGGGGCUCAACCCCAGGUCUGCCGUGCGAACUGGUGGACUAGAGCACUGUAGAGGCAGGUGGAAUUCCGGGUGUAGCGGUGGAAUGCGUAGAGAUCCGGAAGAACACCGGUGGCGAAGGCGGCGACCUGGGUA
rnacentral:rRNA from 1 species